rnacentral:rRNA from 2 species
UAGUAACGGCGAGUGAAGCGGCAACAGCUCAAAUUUGAAAUCUGGCUUCGGCCCGAGUUGUAAUUUGUAGAGGAUGCUUUGGGCGCGGCUCUAACUGAGUUCCCUGGAACGGGACGCCACAGAGGGUGAGAGCCCCGUAUAGUUAGAUGCCUAGCCUAUGUAAAGCUCCUUCGACGAGUCGAGUAGUUUGGGAAUGCUGCUCUAAAUGGGAGGUAAAUUUCUUCUAAAGCUAAAUAUUGGCCAGAGACCGAUAGCGCACAAGUAGAGUGAUCGAAAGAUGAAAAGCACUUUGAAAAGAGGGUUAAAUAGCACGUGAAAUUGUUGAAAGGGAAGCGCUUGUGACCAGACUUGCGCCGGGCAGAUCAUCCGGUGUUCUCACCGGUGCACUCUGCCCGGCUCAGGCCAGCAUCGGUUCUCGUGGGGGGAUAAAGGUCCCGGGAACGUAGCUCCUCCGGGAGUGUUAUAGCCCGGGGCGUAAUGCCCUCGUGGGGACCGAGGUUCGCGCAUCU